GGCGCUAUAGCCAAGUGGUUACGGCGACAGAUUCGAAUAUAUCCGCAUACGUGCUACCUUAAGUAUCUGUUCCUCUUUGAGGGCGCAGGUUCAAAUCCUGCUGGCGUCG